CUGGCGGUGUGCCUCACACAUGCAAGUCGAGCGGACGAAGAUUGAAGCUUGCUUCAGUCCUAGUUAGCGGCGGACGGGUGAGUAACACGUAGGAAUCUGCCUUCAGGCGGGGGACAACGGAACGAAAGUUGCGCUAAUACCCCCAUAUGCGAGUAAUCGUAAAAGGAGCAAUCCACCGGAAGAUGAGCCUGCGUCCGAUUAGCUAGUUGGUAGGGUAAAAGCCUACCAAGGCUACGAUCGGUAGUUGGUCUGAGAGGAUGAUCAGCCACAAUGGAACUGAGACACGGUCCAUACUCCUACGGGAGGCAGCAGUGGGGAAUUUUACGCAAUGGGCGAAAGCCUGACGUAGCGACACCGCGUGAGCGAAGAAGCCUUUGGGGUGUAAAGCUCUGUCAGCUGGAACGAACACAAUGACGGUACCAGCAGAGGAAGCAUCGGCUAACUACGUG
rnacentral:rRNA from 1 species